UCAUAAUUAUAUUGAUUGAGGUUUGUAAUGAAGAUCAUUUUGUAGCUGGCAUAAAAGAAACAUCAACUGGUCUCCUCACGAACACUGAAGUUGGUCUGAAGUGUUACAGAUAAUACAUUUUCGGUAGAAUCUCGACCUGGUGUUAAGAGUAUAGAGACCCACGGUUUCAAUGUCCCUUCCUGAUUGGUUGCUAAAUGCCAAGUGGGUGGGUCUUAUCUGAUAUGAGUGAGUUAGAAGCCGAUGCCAAAAAGAGGGAAGGAAAACAAAUGCAAAAAAGUUGGCGUAAUGCAGAAUAGUGGGGAAAAAAGUGAAGUAGCCUUUUGUUUAAAAGUCAAAUGAACUGAAAUAAACUCCAAGCUGUAACGUGGCGCCCUGUUGCCAAAAGACGAGAAGACAUGUGAAACGGAGGCUCAGAAAAACCACCCACUCACGGGAGACGGAUCAAACGUUCUCAAAAAAACAACAACUCUCUUCUCUCUCUUCUCCCUCUCUUUCUCUCUGAGGGUUGCAUGCUGGGAGACUAUGAUGUGGUUUUGGAAGUCCAGUAGCGUCUCUGGUAUUUGUACAGUAGUGGACAUGAGGCUGCGAAUACAGAGACAUCAAAGUAAAAUCAGAUAAAGCGGUCGAGAAUGUUGAGAGAGUCUGAAGCUCACGGCCUCGAUGUCCCCAGCAGACCCAGAUGUUCCGACCAGACCCAGAUGUUCUGACCUUUGAACUUUCUGGGGUUUUGAUGGAAGAACUCAACCCUGAUCCUGGGCUUUUUAUACCCAGGAUGAACUGCUAUUACGACAGCGAUGGGGACAUGAAGAAAGGGACGAAGAGGGAAAAUCUCUUCUCCCUCCGGAGCCCUAAACGUGCUGCCCGUCUGUAGGAACAUGGCGUUCACCGUGCAACCAGGUGUGUGAGCUGGUAUAAGUGUGUGCAGGUGGGUACACACUCCCAGUAAAAAAAGAGAGAGCUUCAUCAUUCCUGGUUGUUCAGACCCAGAGUCACAAAUCUGUCACUGGUCAAUUUCUAACGCACCUCCGCCAGCAUUGCCUCGACUUAUCACUUCCUUUAAAGCACAAAAGGCCCCCAGUUUUAGCUGGAGGAAGGGAGGGAUAGACGAAACAAGAGACGCAUGUGGUAAUGUGCAUACCACUGACCAACCUUGUAGAAUAUGCUUUGCCAAUAGUUUGCUUAAUGCUCAUGCCAAUAAAGCUAAUUUGAAUGUAUUUGUACAAUAAUAGUGGAUUUACAUUUCAAAAACACAACAUUAAACCAGCGUUUCAAAACCUGGUGGACAGGACCCACCAAAGGGUCAAACAAUCUGGACAGUUUGACCUCUUCAGGUCUUUAAAAUUAAAUGAAACAAUCUGAAACGUGACAUACAACUUAGGGAUGUCUACAGCUACACACAGACAUACAUGAAAAAAUAGAUGAGGGGUCACAAGCAGAUAUUUCUUGGCUUUAGGGGAACCAGUACACUAGAAGAUAACAUAAAGCUGGGCUUACACUGCAUGCUUUUAGAAAUGUUGUUUAAUUCCAACCCCUACUGUAUAGGUAAAUUAUCUAUGGACCAUUGUGGCUAUAGACAAAAAAAAGUUUGGUUUGAAAGCACCAAGGCAGGUAGAAGUUUCUUUGCUAGCAAUUGCUAACAAGGCAGAAACUUGCUGCCUUGAUCAUCUGUGCCACGCUGUGUGCCGAUUGUCGAAAGGAGGAGGAGGAGGAAACAAACAAAAGAGACAUGCAUGCAGUUGCCACAGCUCCACCGGCCUCCAUACUUUCCAUCCACAUAGCGCUUCGUGUUGGCAUAGAACUUUCAGACACUGUGAGAUGCAGCGAGAAAAAAGGCACAGAUUUGGGGGAAUCAACUCGUGGCUCAGCUUCAAAUGGGCAAGAGUCUGACAGUGGCAGACCGAGAUGUCCAACGGCCGUUCGGGAGCAGUCGCCCAACAAAGCACUCACUCUAAAAUGAGUCGCGUGGCUCAUAAAUUGUGUCAGCAACAAUCUGAAAUCAUACACUGUAUUCCCAGUUCACAAUAGUUAUACUUAAUAUUUAUUUAAUUUGGUCUAAUUUUUACUUCAUUUUCUGACAUUAUAAUCGCUGUUUUGUCUCUUUAUGUUUUGGCAGCACAAAUGUAUUUUACAUUUCUUACCAAUAAACCAAAAUUCAAAAAUGAAAUGAAAAAGAAAAAAAGAAAGAAAGAGAAAAACAUACAAAGAAAAAGUGAUUUAUUUUAUGAAUGCAUCCUAUUGCAUUUGUAUUGAUAUUUUUGGACUGCUUUGGCAAUAUAUGUAUAUGUACAUCACGGUAAUAAAGCUCAUUGAAAUUUGCAUUUUUUAUACAAUAUGCAGGAUGUUACAAUGUACGUUUUUCCCUUCAGUUGCUUUAAGGUAAGAAAAAUAAAUGUAUUGUCUGCG